UGCAAACUGCGAAUACCGGAGAAUGUUAUCACGGGAGACACACGGCGGGUGCUAACGUCCGUCGUGAAGAGGGAAACAACCCAGACCGCCAGCUAAGGUCCCAAAGUCAUGGUUAAGUGGGAAACGAUGUGGGAAGGCCCAGACAGCCAGGAUGUUGGCUUAGAAGCAGCCAUCAUUUAAAGAAAGCGUAAUAGCUCACUGGUCGAGUCGGCCUGCGCGGAAGAUGUAACGGGGCUAAACCAUGCACCGAAGCUGCGGCAGCGACGCUGAUGCGUUGUUGGGUAGGGGAGCGUUCUGUAAGCCUGCGAAGGUGUGCUGUGAGGCAUGCUGGAGGUAUCAGAAGUGCGAAUGCUGACAUAAGUAACGAUAAAGCGGGUGAAAAGCCCGCUCGCCGGAAGACCAAGGGUUCCUGUCCAACGUUAAUCGGGGCAGGGUGAGUCGACCCCUAAGGCGAGGCCGAAAGGCGUAGUCGAUGGGAAACAGGUUAAUAUUCCUGUACUUGGUGUUACUGCGAAGGGGGGACGGAGAAGGCUAUGUUGGCCGGGCGACGGUUGUCCCGGUUUAAGCGUGUAGGCUGGUUUUCCAGGCAAAUCCGGAAAAUCAAGGCUGAGGCGUGAUGACGAGGCACUACGGUGCUGAAGCAACAAAUGCCCUGCUUCCAGGAAAAGCCUCUAAGCAUCAGGUAACAUCAAAUCGUACCCCAAACCGACACAGGUGGUCAGGUAGAGAAUACCAAGGCGCUUGAGAGAACUCGGGUGAAGGAACUAGGCAAAAUGGUGCCGUAACUUCGGGAGAAGGCACGCUGAUAUGUAGGUGAAGCGACUUGCUCGUGGAGCUGAAAUCAGUCGAAGAUACCAGCUGGCUGCAACUGUUUAUUAAAAACACAGCACUGUGCAAACACGAAAGUGGACGUAUACGGUGUGACGCCUGCCCGGUGCCGGAAGGUUAAUUGAUGGGGUUAGCGCAAGCGAAGCUCUUGAUCGAAGCCCCGGUAAACGGCGGCCGUAACUAUAACGGUCCUAAGGUAGCGAAAUUCCUUGUCGGGUAAGUUCCGACCUGCACGAAUGGCGUAAUGAUGGCCAGGCUGUCUCCACCCGAGACUCAGUGAAAUUGAACUCGCUGUGAAGAUGCAGUGUACCCGCGGCAAGACGGAAAGACCCCGUGAACCUUUACUAUAGCUUGACACUGAACAUUGAGCCUUGAUGUGUAGGAUAGGUGGGAGGCUUUGAAGUGUGGACGCCAGUCUGCAUGGAGCCGACCUUGAAAUACCACCCUUUAAUGUUUGAUGUUCUAACGUGGACCCGUAAUCCGGGUUGCGGACAGUGUCUGGUGGGUAGUUUGACUGGGGCGGUCUCCUCCUAAAGAGUAACGGAGGAGCACGAAGGUUGGCUAAUCCUGGUCGGACAUCAGGAGGUUAGUGCAAUGGCAUAAGCCAGCUUGACUGCGAGCGUGACGGCGCGAGCAGGUGCGAAAGCAGGUCAUAGUGAUCCGGUGGUUCUGAAUGGAAGGGCCAUCGCUCAACGGAUAAAAGGUACUCCGGGGAUAACAGGCUGAUACCGCCCAAGAGUUCAUAUCGACGGCGGUGUUUGGCACCUCGAUGUCGGCUCAUCACAUCCUGGGGCUGAAGUAGGUCCCAAGGGUAUGGCUGUUCGCCAUUUAAAGUGGUACGCGAGCUGGGUUUAGAACGUCGUGAGACAGUUCGGUCCCUAUCUGCCGUGGGCGCUGGAGAACUGAGGGGGGCUGCUCCUAGUACGAGAGGACCGGAGUGGACGCAUCACUGGUGUUCGGGUUGUCAUGCCAAUGGCACUGCCCGGUAGCUAAAUGCGGAAGAGAUAAGUGCUGAAAGCAUCUAAGCACGAAACUUGCCCCGAGAUGAGUUCUCCCUGACUCCUUGAGAGUCCUGAAGGAACGUUGAAGACGACGACGUUGAUAGGCCGGGUGUGUAAGCGCAGCGAUGCGUUGAGCUAACCGGUACUAAUGAACCGUGAGGCUUAACCUUACAACGCCGAAG
rnacentral:rRNA from 1 species